UUCUACACGUAGUACCCUGCCUUGUUUGGUUUUAUUAAAACAGGAACAGAAAGGGUUGUUCUUCAUCUUGUUUUGCUAAUUUGCUAAUUAAUUAUCUUCAGAGCUGUGCCGAUGUUGGUGGUGUCACUUCCUUCUCCAUUUAACGGCGCAGCUCUGAUGAUGGCUUUUGUAAUUAGCCAAAACAUUAGCAAAACAAGGUAUAGAAACCCCCUUUUUUCUGUCUUUUAAAAGAACAAAACAAGGCAAGUUGACAAAAUACACAGAAUAAACGUACAGAAGACGUAGUACCCUGGUUUCCCUUGAGGUCGUGUAUCUCCAAUAAUUCAUGGGUUUACAGCUGGGAGGUUUAAUUUAGCAUUCAUAAUUGGAUUUUUACAUUUGUACAGCGUACAACCCGGCCCUCUUGCCGAAUGAAUGACACAGUCAUUUGAUUCCAGAUCACCUGAGAGGUAAUCUCCAAGGACACGCCCCCUACUGGUGCCAGUGCAAGGGUUUGUGUUGUCCUUUUGAAGUCUAACGGGAAUUGGAGGCAUUUUGUGGUGUUUCUGGGACUUUGUUGGUCGUAGAAGACAUUCUGGAUUGCCUCAGUCAGGAAAAACAGAGUUGGGAGGGACAAGCUAAACAAAAGUGUUUGGAUGCUUCUCCUCUGACCUCAGCAUGACUUUUUCAUCCACAUCAUCUGAAUGUUUUCUAUGUUUCAGUUUUCAUCGAUGUUUGCCAUGCCUCUGCACCAGCGAAGCUACGCUAUGAGCGUGUGAAGCUGCAGUUAACUCUCUUUCAAACAUGCCGGGGCAUCCAAGCUAAACUCUUAGCAUUACCGCGUUAACACCUACUGUGGGAGUCGUGACGGAGCACCGCGGCUCUGAAUGGUGGGAGCGACCUUGAGUGCAGCACCAGGAAUUCUCUCCACUUGACAGCUGGCUCUGGCGCCUGCCCUUGACUUAGCGAGUGAUAAUGCUGUCAGAGAUUUUGGGGAAGAGAACUGCUGGCACGCUAAUCUCAAAGAGGCAAGGAGGAGCUGUCCCUGGCAUUCUCAGGGAGGCGUUGACAGUAAAGCUACCAGUUGUUCCAUCCUGCUGGGAUAGUGCUGGGAGAUAAAAGGGCCCAAAAGUUUCCCAGGUUGCUGUGGACAACCAGAGCAAAUGCUUGAUUAGAUGAGGAGGUGUGGUGUCCGUGGCAGCUGUGGUUUCAUCAUGGGGGUCCCUCAGGACAGGACAUGCAAACCAUAAUAAAGUCUCAGAAAUGGUCUCAGUGAUGGACAGCACACACCAGCAGGAGGGAUUAAGACAGCUGGCAGGCUGCGCUCAUGCUCAGAUGACAGCAAUUCAACUUUAUCAAACUUUUUGACACAAUACCCCGCCCCAUCCAGAUCCAGGGCUUUCAGCAGCAAGUGCACCUCCUAGUUCCUCACACGUGCUCUGCGCAUUUGUUGGACAUCCUUCAGUACUGUGAAGAUGACCCGAGUCCUGCAGAUGGUUGUUUGUAAAUUAAACCCAAACUGCCCCCUUGUGCUCUAUGAUGUACUGGACCCAUGACACAAGUCUUACUUUGCAUUAUUGUGUUAACAUGAUAUGGUUACACAAAAGAUGAAAAUAUUUGUGCAAAAUAAAUGAUUUAGGAGCUAAAAUUAUAGAAAAUAUUCAACUUCCAUGAAAAAAUACGGUAUGAAAUGUCUAUUUUUUAUUGUUUGUUUGUUUUGUUUUUUAAUAAAGUUGGACAGAUUUGAAUUCUGGACAGAAAUGUUUGGUUUGACCAGCAGAUGGCAGCAUUUCUAAUUUUGGGGUUGUUAGGAAACUGUGAGCUAGACUCAUCCUGUGUUAUAUUCACUUCAACAUUUAAAAAGAUACAUUUAUUAUAAUAAUUUCGUUUACUAGAAAAUAAUUAUUUAAUUGUUUCUGGUCGACCUCAUCAUGAAUUUGAUUUGUCUACAAAAAGGCCUAUCAGUUGUUUGCAGGGAUGAACAAAUCCAUGUGCAUGAAUUCUGAUGCUUUUACUGAACAACAGCCCCCAAAAGGUUUAAAUUAACAAUUGAAUAGGUCAAAUUAAAAAUAUAAAGUGAAUUAUUUUGAGUAAAGUAUAGUUUAAUAGCAUUUCUAAAGACCUUCAUGCAGAAAACUUAAGAUUUCCUCCAAUUUUUAAGUUUGUCCGCAAAUAAAACGCAAAUGAUAAUAAUAAUAAUAUAAACUCACUCCUAACCAGCAUUUUUCCACACCAAAGGAGACUUCUUAUUCUUGUCGUUUUCUACUUAUUUUAAUUAUCUUCCUCUCCAAGCUUCUCCAUUUGCUCUUUGUCCUUCUUUGUUCUGUUUGGUUAGAGAUGGUGGUUAGAAAAAGCUCGUUGAAGAGAAUAACAUACAUGUAUGUUGUUCAUGUUGCGUGUUUAUGAGUGGAAAAGCCUCUCCGGUUGCAUGGGAACCUGAGUCCAGCUAAUCCUGCUUUGGGCUGGAGAGGGUUUCUCCAAACAAAUCAUCCCGUUCUAAGACCUUCAAGUGGACUCCUGGAUCUCUUUGCCAAGUAUCACCAUAUAAAACAAAAAGAACCCAGAGAACCCCCCUUUUCACAUGAAACAGCUACCUACCGUGCGGCAAAUCCCCCGUCUGUGUCUUUUCUUCCAGGAGUAGGAAAAGGAGAAAGGAAUGGGGUGUGGAUAAGCCGGAGCAGCAGGAGACUGUCAAGUUGAAGGACUGAGAUGACCUGUUUUUAGAAGAAGGGAUGAGUCUGAAUAACGGCUGCUCAUGAAGGGGUCAUUGUUGGACUGCAGACUCAGACGGAGAGGAGAAAGCAGCAGAGCUGGAAUAUUUGAAGUGGUUACUUCUGUUGUUCCUAAUUAUACUCUGUGUGUGUGUGUGUGUGUUUGUGUGUGUGCGUGCGUGCGUGCGUGUGCGCGUGCGUGCGUGUGUGUGUGUGUGUGUGUGUGUGUGUGUGUGUGUGUGUGUGUGAUAUUCAUUGAAUAUCUAUGCGAUAUCCAUUGCAUAUAUUCUAAAAGUCCACU